GACGAACCGUCCAAACGUUAUUCGGAAUUACUGGGCUUAAAGGGCGCGUAGGCGGCCGAGCGGGUCGCGGGUGAAAUCCUCCAGCUUAACUGGAGAACUGCCCUCGAUACCACUUCGGCUCGAGGAAGGAAGGGGCACUUGGAACUGUCGGUGGAGCGGUGAAAUGCGUUGAUAUCGACAGGAACGCCGAUGGCGAAAGCAGAGUGCUGGUCCCUUUCUGACGCUGAGGCGCGAAAGCCAGGGGAGCAAACGGG
rnacentral:rRNA from 1 species